CGUAGGUGGCGAGCGUUGUCCGGAUUUACUGGGCGUAAAGAGCGCGCAGGCGGUCGUGCAAGUCGCGUGUGAAAGCCCCCGGCUCAACUGGGGAGGGUCACGCGAUACUGCUCGACCUUGAAGGCAGGAGAGGGAAGUGGAAUUCCCGGUGUAGUGGUGAAAUGCGUAGAUAUCGGGAGGAACACCAGUGGCGAAGGCGACUUCCUGGCCUGUUCUUGACGCUGAGGCGCGAAGGCUAGGGUAGCAAACGGGAUUAGAUACCCCGGUAGUCCUAGCCGUAAACGAUGGACACUAGGUGUUGGUGGUAUCAACCCCGCCAGUGCCGAAGCUAACGCAUUAAGUGUCCCGCCUGGGGAGUACGGCCGCAAGGCUA
rnacentral:rRNA from 1 species